GACGAACGCUGGCGGCGUGGAUUAGGCAUGCAAGUCGAACGGUAUCAUCCUUUCGGGGGUGAGAGAGUGGCGAACUGGUGAGUAACACGUAGGUUAUCUACCCUCAAGACGGGGACAACCCAGGGAAACUUGGGCUAAUACCGGAUGUGAGCAACUUUUAGUUGUUUGAAAGGUGGCGUAAGCUGUCGCUUGGGGAUGAGCCUGCGUCCUAUUAGUUAGUUGGUGAGGUAACGGCUCACCUAGGCAAUGAUAGGUAGGCGGCCUUAACGGGUGGUCGCCCACACUGGGAUUGAGAUACGGCCCAGACUCCUACGGGAGGCAGCAGUCGAGAAUAGUCUACAAUGGUCGGAAGACUGAUAGUGCGACGCCGCGUGAACGAUGAAUCCCUUCGGGGUGUAAAGUUCUUUUAUAUGUGAGCAGUGCUUCUUAUAUUAACAGUAUGGGGAAGAGAUAUUAGCAUAUGAAUAAGCAACGGCUAAACUCCGUGCCCAGCAGCCGCGGUAAG
rnacentral:rRNA from 1 species